GGUUUAAAUAACAAUCGGUGUGUUGUGUUUUCCUGUGACAUUUCCGGAGUUGGGUCAUCUUAAUCUUUUAAGGGACCUAAAAUUGAUGUUCUCGCGCAUCUUGACGUGUAUAAUUUUCUUAUCUCGUCGCCGGAUGCAGAGGUAUUAUUAGGUGUGGUCAUGCUAAGUGGUUUCACGCCUAUAGGAAUCUUGA
rnacentral:misc_RNA from 1 species